rnacentral:lncRNA from 1 species
CCCGCGGUGACGUCAUCACCAUUGCACAACUCCCGCUUCCCCUUUUCCCGCCAAUUCCGGCCCCGCCCUGGCGACAGUGAGGGGACAUUGAGGGGACAGAGAGGGGACAGAGAGGGGACACUGAGGGGACAGUGAGGGGACAUUGAGGGGACAGUGAGGGGACAGUGAGGGGACACAGAGGGGACACAGAGGGGACAGUGAGGGGACAGUGAGGGGACACUGAGGGACAUUCAAGAUGGCGCUGAGGAGCUUCAUCCCAUUCCUGGCGUUUCUCCCGAUCCUUUUCCCGCCGGCGGCGCCUUCAGACUUUCCUCUCCCCGCCCCCAACAUCUCGGUGACACCACCCAAGUCUCAGUUCCUCAUCGGCGACUCCGUGUCCAUCUCCUGCUCGGCGCCGCCGCCGCCGCGCCCCGACCGCCUCCAGGGCUUCCGCUUCACCGGCACGUCUGGCUGGGUCACCGACGUCCUCACCUCCAGGAACCGCUUCGUCCACACCUUCACCGUCACCGGUCCACGCGAUGGUGGCUUCCACGCCUGCUCCUACACGGUCCUGCGGCGCGGUGGUGGACAUCUCCGCUCCUUGACCAGCCGGGCCGUGCUCAUCGAUGUCCGAGAUCGUCCAGCCCAACCCAACCUGACGGUGGCGCCCUCCAGCGUCACGGUGGAAGGGCAGCCCCUCGUCUUCUCCUGCGCGGCCCCACCCGGCGCCGCCGAGCGCAGAUUUGGGUUCUUCCAGGAGGAGCUGGAGGUCACGGGUGGGAUCUGGGAAGGUUCUGGAACCGGCAGCGCCCAGCUGAGGGUGGAGAAGAGCGACCGGAACCGGACCGGGAACUUCAGCUGCCGCUACGAGGAGAUGACCGAGGGGCGCUGGAUCGCCUCCUACCCCAGCGAUGCCGUCCAGGUCAUCGUCCAAGGUCCGUGCCCGGCCCCUCUGCUCUCGGUGGAGCCGCCCUCGGGCGCGGUGGCCGCGGGGCACCGGCUGCGCCUGACCUGCGCCGCGCCCCGGCGCCGCUUCCGCCGCCGCUUCCGCUUCUUCCGCGACGGCGCCGAGGUGGCGCCGGGCGCUGGUGACGUCAUCGGUGACGUCACCGAGGAGGGGGCGGAGCUGCUUUUCCCGCGGAUUUCCCCGGAACUGGCCGGGAAUUUCAGCUGCCGGGUGGAGGAGGAGGUGGGCGGGGCCUGGCUGGAGGCCCCGCCCAGCCGGGGCGUGGCCGUGGUGGUCAGGGCUCAGUUUGACUUCCUCCCAUUGGUCAUCGGUGGCGUCGUGGGCGUGGCCUCGCUGCUCCUGGGGCUCCUAUUGGCUGCUUGGCUGUGCCGGAGGAAGAGGGGAGGUUCCCGCUGGCGGGGGCUGAGCCCUGGCGACGACAACAGCGCCUUCCCCAUGGGGGGCUACGAGGUGGCCGCCUGA